AUCGCGAGAAUCUUGGCGAUGUAGGGGAUGAGCGGCAGGUUCAGCACCAAGAGCACCAGGUUGCCGAUAUACAUCGAGAUGAUCACCGCCCAGAAGAUAUCCGGCUCGUCGACCAUCAGGCGCGGGCC
rfam:Roseovarius sp. HTCC2601 scf_1100011001366 genomic scaffold, whole genome shotgun sequence.